rnacentral:rRNA from 1 species
UACAGAGGGGGCAAGCGUUAUUCGGAAUUAUUGGGCGUAAAGGGCUCGUAGGCGGCCAACUAAGUCGGAUGUGAAAUCCCCAGGCUUAACCUGGGAACUGCAUCCGAUACUGGAUGGCUUGAAUUCGGGAGAGGGAUGCAGAAUUCCAGGUGUAGCGGUGAAAUGCGUAGAUAUCUGGAGGAAUACCGGUGGCGAAGGCGGCAUCCUGGACCGAGAUUGACGCUGAUGAGCGAAAGCUAGGGGAGCAAACGGG